UACGAAGGGUGCAAGCGUUACUCGGAAUUACUGGGCGUAAAGCGUGCGUAGGUGGUGAGUUAAGUCUGUCGUGAAAGCCCCGGGCUCAACCUGGGAAUGGCGAUGGAUACUGGCUCGCUAGAGUGCGGUAGAGGAGAGUGGAAUUCCCGGUGUAGCAGUGAAAUGCGUAGAGAUCGGGAGGAACACCGGUGGCGAAGGCGGAUCUCUGGGCCUUACCUGACGCUGAGGCGCGAAAGCUAGGGGAGCGAACAGG
rnacentral:rRNA from 1 species